AAUAAACGUGAGUUUUCUAAUUUUUACUUUUGAAAAUCAAUUUAAACAUAAAUACGAACAUGUUGAACCAAUUCGUUCGUCAAGUUUGGGCCGUAAGAAGGGAGUAAUAAAGCCCGGCCCAAUUAGUGGCCCAAAUUCAUUGUAGUUUGGGUCUCGGUUCGAUUCCAACGGGAGAUAGACCUUUCUGAGUCGCCAAAUCAAAGCGAAUUCCAUCUCUUGGCGCGGCCAUGGCGUCGUUCGGCUCUCUGAAGAAUGCUAUCUUCGAAAGAGAAGAGAGAAAACAGCAGUAUCAGGCGCAUGUGCGAGGGCUCAAUGCUUACGAUCGCCACAAGAAGUUUAUGCUGACAUAUCGGUUGGUGACAUGUCGAUUGCUUCCAAGGGACAAGUGGAGAUUGAUAAGCGUCGAUCCACUACUGGUUAUCCGUUUACCAUGGCUGGUGAACCUGUUUGUUGGCGUUCAAUAUUGCAGUCUACUAUUGAAUUGUCUAACACCGAAAUAGAGUAUAUGACAAUCACUGUAGCUUUUAAAGAAGCUAUUUGGAUCCAUGAUUUGGUUAAUAACUUGGGUAUUUCUCAGUAACACGUAGAUGCAUUUUGUGAUAAUUAGAGUGCUAUUUGUUUGUCGAAGAACCAAGUCUAUUAUGUUCAUACCAAGUAUAUUGAUGUCCGAUUUCAUUAUAUUCAAGAAAUUAUCAAUGAAGGGGAUAUUUGUUUAUUGAAAAUUUGAACGGCUGAUAAUCCUACGGAUAUGUUGACAAAAGUGAUCGCUCGUGAAAAGUUUUGGCAUUGUUUAGAUUUGAUCAAUGUUGGACGAAAGAAAUAGCUUGUUGACUUGGUGGCAGCCAAACCGAUUAUCUGCUUCGGGAUCUUCUGAUAAGGUGGAGAUUGUUGAGUAGAUGCUCAAAGAAAAGCUUCAUUACAAGAGAAAGAAAGGAAAUGAGAAACAGGAAAGGAUGGAGCAAAAAAUGUCCAAAAGGAAGAGGUACCACUCCAAACUUUAAGGGAAGAAGGCUUCAACAUCAUCAGGGGAUCAUAAAGCUGAUGACAAAAACGACAUUGAUGAAUAUGGGCCUCAAGGCUACAAUUCCGGCCUCCACAGGGCAGUAUUUUCAGGUAUCUGCUUCCUUGAAACCUUUUCGAAGACGACAAAUGGCAAUUUAUAUCUUAAACAUAAAGCAUCAUGUGCAUGUGGUUGAUUCCCUAAUUGUUUAAUUGUAUUGUAGCCUUGUCGUAAUCUGUAUAUCUUGUUCUGUUGUAUGAGCUGUUAUGUGCAGCAGGGUUUUUUAGUUCAGAAAAUCCAUCCACCCAAUUGAAACUAAUCAAAAGCUUUAAACCCUUCCCAUAUAUUCAAUGUUCAUGCUCAGAUCCCCUUUUGUUCAUCAGUCACUCAUUGUCACCACCCACCCUUUUCGACCUCUGUUACGAGUUUCGACCUUUGUUGCCUUCCUCCCAUGGACUUGGACUAUUGUAAUUGUGGUAUACAAAAAAGAAGUUUUGUCGAGGAUUAUGA